UUAAACUUUUUUAAAUACAUGUACAUAUUUUAUAUAUGUAGGGCCCAAUUUCUGCUCGGCCUGUUAAAUAAAAAAAAACCAAAUAGAAACAAAGGCUAAUGUUUCAGUCCAAUUUUGUUACAAAUCCAAUAACGGGCCCAAUAGCUAAUUCCUAACCCAUGCCCGAAAUUAAUGGAAAAGGAAGGGUUAGGAAACCCUUGCAUCAACCUCCCCGCUUCCAGCAAAGCCUCCAGCCGCCGCACGUCUCGGGGCCGACUCCUCACAUCCGCUCCACAAACACCUCAAGCACGAACUCAAAGAGUCCGAAAGAGAAGAAACAGCAAAGAAAUAGCAAUUAUAUUCGAUUUAUUUUUCUUUUUCGGGCUAUAUAAAGCCGUUUUAUUUUGUAAAAUGGGGUGGGGGGAUUGAAGAAAAGAAUAUAGAAAGAGAGGUGAUUACCUUUCAGUUGGAUUUAGAGGGUUUUGUUCUUACAUUUUAUUUCGUUUUAUUUCAUUAUUAUCUUUUAUUUCAUUUCUUUAAAAUACUAAUAAGAAAGAAAAAGGGAGACUUACCUUUCGCCGGAGUCAUCAAGCUGGUGUCCCCUCCGUCGGAAUCGGGGCGCGGGCUGAACGGCGGCCAAAGGGUUAAGGAGACCCUAAAAGAAGCAGUUUCUGCUUCAAAGGGAAAGGCAAAAUAUUACCCUAAAUUUGUUUUUUUCUAAAACUUAAAACAGAACAAAGAUGGCGCCGUUUAGUUUGGGGGUUCGCGCAUAUCAACCUUAAAUGGGAGAAUUUCGCAAUAAGUCCUUCCCCUUUGCGCCAUGUUUUAUUAAGCCAGUUAUUUCUUUUUAAUUUGGCCCAGAUGUUUUUACCUUGUUUCAAAUCGGUCCCCAUUGCGGCACAGCGUUUUAAGGAGGCGGAUUAUUUCCAUCUGGG
rnacentral:lncRNA from 1 species